AACGAACGCUGGCGGCAGGCCUAACACAUGCAAGUCGAACGCCCUAGCAAUAGGGAGUGGCAGACGGGUGAGUAACACGUGGGAACGUGCCCUUCGGUUCGGAAUAACUCAGGGAAACUUGAGCUAAUACCGGAUACGUGCGAGAGCAGAAAGAUUUAUCGCCGAAGGAUCGGCCCGCGUCCGAUUAGCUAGUUGGUGAGGUAAUGGCUCACCAAGGCGACGAUCGGUAGCUGGUCUGAGAGGAUGACCAGCCACACUGGGACUGAGACACGGCCCAGACUCCUACGGGAGGCAGCAGUGGGGAAUAUUGGACAAUGGGCGCAAGCCUGAUCCAGCCAUGCCGCGUGAGUGAUGAAGGCCCUAGGGUUGUAAAGCUCUUUCGCCAGGGACGAUAAUGACGGUACCUGGAUAAGAAGCCCCGGCUAACUUCGUGCCAGCCGCCGCCGUAAGAC
rnacentral:rRNA from 1 species